GGAGGGGUUCCCGAGUGGCCAAAGGGAACAGACUGUAAAUCUGUCGGCGUACGCCUUCGGUGGUUCAAAUCCACCCCCCUCCA
rnacentral:tRNA from 1 species